AGGGUGAAUUUGCCAAUGUCGGUGUUGACUUUCACACGUGAGGAGAAUGUUCGGUAUAAUAAUUUUGUAUUUUUGGAAGGAUGUAGUUGGGAAACCCUAAAAACAAAUAAUUGUUAUGAACAUCACAGACAAACACAUGACGAAUACAAAAAUUAGCAAAAAAGCGGGAAGCGGGUGACAGAACGUUAGUAGUGCCAACAUGAAGGAAGUGGAAGAGAAGAAUACUUUAUAUAUAUAAUAUAGAUAAAGAUAUAGAGUAUAAAUUGACAUGAAUUAAACGAGUUAAAUUAGAAAAGAUAAGACGUUAUUUAGAGUUUAAUGUUAUUCGUUUGUAAAUAUUUAAUUAGGAUAGAAGUUAGCUUAGUAUCCAUGUGACAAAGUAGCGAGCUAAAGCAUAUAGGUCGUGGAACAUUUUCGGGUAAUACAUCGUACAGCGAGUAGCUACAUUUUGAACAAGCAAAGAAGAUGUGGUCCAAGUUGCCCUCAUCCAACCCACAUUCACACAUUGAAUUCGCACGGACACCAAUCAUAGCCAGAAAUAACGGGGUACAUACUUUGCCUAAGCGUAAGCGACAAAUGGUGGAUAUUACCCAUUUCGGAGAAGUACGGAAUCGAUAGAACCACGGUUUUCGAGUAAUUCGAGGUUGUAUACAGCCAUAAUGUUUACCGGUCUCUAAUCUAGAGGUAUCCCAUUGUUCCUGCCAUGAAUCAAACAUAUCAGAUAGUGCACAACUCAACAGGUCAGUACUGUAAAUUUCCUGUUUUAUUGAUCCAAUCUCAAUCGCCUGUUUUGCCCAUAUAUCAGCCAUCUCAUUACCUCUAAUACCACAGUGGCUUGGAACCCAUCCGAGAACAAUAUGUAGGCCCCUCAGUUCACACCUACGUAGCACAGCCUUAAUUUCAAGGAUCAAUGGAAAUUUUGCUUUAAAUUUGAAUUGAUUGCCUACAAUUGCCUGCAGGCAACUCCUGCUGUCAGAGAAGAUAAUUGUUUUUUUAAUGUUAUGUGUGUCUGCAUAUUUUACCGCCUCAAGAAUAGCAACUGCCUCACCGGUGAAAAUGGAUGCUUGAGGAGGACAUUUAAAUGGGAGGGCAAUAUUGUACCGAGGAAUCCACACCGCUGCUCCCACGCAUCUUGUAGGAUCCACCUUAGAUGCAUCAGUAAAAACCGUGACCUCCAGUGCCAGUGCUCGCAAGCGUGGAAGCAGCAAGUGGUUGUUAUAAGAGCUGGCUUUAAUCAAGAACCUGUCGGCGAGGUAUUGUCUGCGUAGAGAUAACGGCGGUUCAACACCUUCCACCUGCAUGCCAUUUUUGGGAGAAGGAAGCAUAGCACCUAGUAUGAUCCUUAAACAUUUAGCCUGUAUAAGGUCUAAUUUAUCUAGGCCAUCCUUAUUACAGGGUUCCAUUAAAAAUGACCCAUAGUCCAUAUGGCUGCGUAUGAUGGCAUUAUAUAGUAGCUUCUGGCAAUAAGGAUGGGAGCCCCACCAGACACCUGACAACGCUCGCAGAAUAUUAAUAUUUUUCUCACAUUUACCCAGUACAUAUUUGUGGUGUGAGGUGCCAGACAUUUUGUGGUCUAAUAUAACACCUAGAAAUUUUACUGACUCUUUACUUGGAAUCACAACACCACCAUAACGGACAUCUGCGGCAGGCAUGAUCCUUCUGCGACUGAAAGUCACUACACAACUUUUUGUUGGUGAUAGGGUCAAACCAUGUUCAUCAAGCCAAUCCUUGAGGUAACCCAAAGCUGUAUUUAGACUAGCAGUGGCUUUGUCCAUUGACUUUGCUGAGGUGUAUAAGACUAGAUCAUCAGCAUACUGCAAGAUAUUACAGAAGGAUAGGACAGAUUGCUCCAAGUCGUAGGUGUAGAUACUGUAAAGUAGGGGGCUGAGCACCGAUCCUUGCGGAAGACCACGCCACAAAGUUCGAGGAGGGUAAUAAGAAUUACCAUUCCUAAUUUUAAUUGACCUACCCAUGAACAAUUUGGUGACAAUAUGUACAAUCUUCGCGGGAAUGCUCAGAUGUAGCAUUUUUGCCCUGAGCACCGGAAGAAGGACAUUGUCGUAGGCCGCAGAGAUAUCUAGAAAACAUCCCAGCAGAUAUUCGUUUUUUGAAAGGGUAAGUCGGAUAUCAGUUGCUAAAAUAUUUAAACUGUCCAUUGUACUACGGCCCUUUCGGAAGCCAAACUGCGUGUCAGCCAGGAUACCUUUGUUUUCCACAAACCACUCCAAUCUAUUUUUAACCAGAUGCUCUAAUAUCUUUCCCAUUGUCGCGGAAAGAGCAAUCGGGCGAUAUGAGCUAGACUCGUCUGGGUUUUUAGACGGUUUUAGGAUUGGGAUAAUAACUUGGGUCUUCCAGUCAACUGGAAUCUCUCCCGUGUCAAAGGCGUGGUUUAGAAUACCAAGCAGAUACUCUUGUGAAUAUGAAUUUAGCUUAGACAGGAAACAGUAUGGUAUGCCAUCCUCUCCAGAGGUUCAGGGGAGGGAGUUGGGAGAAUAGAAGAAGGCUUCGUGAUAAUAAUUGGGAAAUGGUCACUGCCAAACGACUGGCGUAAUACCCUCCAGGAUAAUAAAGAAGACAAACUAGGAGAACAAACAGAUAGAUCGAGAACUGACUGGGGGUUCUGACCUGGGUAUACCCGAUGCGUGGGAGUACCGUCAUUAAUAACUCCCACAUUGAUUUCAUCGAAUAAAUCCAACAGGGCAGAUGAAAACGCAUCCGAAUGGUAUGACCCCCAUGACAUAUUGUGACAAUUAAAGUCCCCUAAAAUUAUAAGAGGAGGUGGAGCCGAUUUGAGAAUAGAAUUUAAUUCAUUUAUAUCAACUACUUCAGUAUGGGGAAUAUAUAUAGAGAUGAAAUUAAUGCCCAU